AUACGUAGGGUGCGAGCGUUAAUCGGAAUUACUGGGCGUAAAGCGCGCGUAGGUGGUCAAGUCAGUCAACUGUGAAAGCCCAGGGCUCAACCUUGGAAUUGCAGCUGAUACUGCUCGACUCGAGUAUGGUAGAGGGGUGUGGAAUUUCCUGUGUAGCGGUGAAAUGCGUAGAUAUAGGAAGGAACACCAGUGGCGAAGGCGACACCCUGGACCAAUACUGACACUGAGGUGCGAAAGCGUGGGGAGCAAACAGGAUUAGAUACCCGGGUAGUCC
rnacentral:rRNA from 1 species